rnacentral:rRNA from 1 species
UACAGGGGGCGCGAGCGUUGCUCGGAAUCACUGGGCGUAAAGCGUACGCAGGCGGGUCGAUAAGUCCGUUGUGAAAUCCCAGGGCUCAACCCUGGAACUGCAGUGGAGACUGUCGAUCUUGAGUACGGGAGAGGAGAGCGGAAUUCCUGGUGUAGAGGUGAAAUUCGUAGAUAUCAGGAGGAACGCCGGUGGCGAAAGCGGCUCUCUGGCCCGAUACUGACGCUCAUGGUAC